rnacentral:rRNA from 1 species
GACAGAGGUGCCGAGCGUUAGGCGGAAUCACUGGGCUUAAAGCGUGUGUAGGCGGGUCCGUAAGUACCUUGUGAAAUCCCACGGCCCAACCGUGGAAGUGCCUCUGAUACUGCGGGCCUGGAGGGGGAUAGGGGCGUGCGGAACUUCCGGUGGAGCGGUGAAAUGCGUAGAUAUCGGAAGGAACACCGGUGGCGAAAGCGGCGCGCUGGAUCCCUACUGACGCUGAGGCACGAAAGCCAGGGGAGCAAACGGG